AUGAGGAGCCAGGAACCCUUCUAGGUCCUGGGUCACAGAAAUGAGGGGCAGCGCAAGGAAGAGGUGUCCUGGGGCUCUACUAGUGAUCCUGGUCAUUCGUCUUUACUGUGUAAGUUGCCAGGUUAAUGUGGCGCAGAGCCCGCCGUCCCUGAGCGGCUCUGAAGGACAGGACUCCAGCCUGACCUGCAGUUACUCCGGCACGGCGAGAAAUGUGCAGUGGUACCGCCAGGCCCCAGGGGAAAGCCCCACCCUCCUGGGGAUUUUGUACAAGGACGAGCGUGCCACGUGGGGGCUGAAUCUCAGAGCUGAGCUCCGGACCAGAGACAAGCACAGCUGCCUGAACAUCACCGAGGCGCAGCUGCAAGACGCAGCCACCUACCUCUGUGCAGUGGAGACACAGUGA